AGCGGCGGACGGGUGAGUAACGCGUAGGAAUCUACCUAGUAGAAGGGGAUAGCCCGGGGAAACCCGGAUUAAUACCGUAUACCUCCUUCGGGAGAAAGAAGGCCUCUCUUUGAAGCUUCGCUACUAGAUGAGCCUGCGUAAGAUUAGCUUGCUGGUGAGGUAAAGGCUCACCAAGGCAACGAUCUUUAGCUGGUCUGAGAGGACGAUCAGACACAUUGGGACUGAGACACGGCCCAGACUCCUACGGGAGGCAGCAGUGGGGAAUAUUGGACAAUGGGCGCAAGCCUGAUCCAGCCAUACCGCGUGUGUGAAGUAGGCCUUCGGGUUGUAAAGCACUUUAAGCAGGGAGAAAAAGUUAUAAGCUAAUACCUUAUAACCUUGAUGUUACCUGCAGAAUAAGCACCGGCUAAUUCCGUGCCAGCAGCCGCGGUAAUACGGAAGGUGCAAGCGUUAAUCGGAAUUACUGGG
rnacentral:rRNA from 1 species